rnacentral:rRNA from 1 species
UACGGAGGGUGCAAGCGUUAUCCGGAUUUACUGGGUUUAAAGGGUGCGUAGGUGGGCAGUUAAGUCAGUGGUGAAAUCUCCGAGCUUAACUCGGAAACUGCCAUUGAUACUAUCUGUCUUGAAUAUCCUGGAGGUGAGCGGAAUAUGUCAUGUAGCGGUGAAAUGCUUAGAUAUGACAUAGAACACCAAUUGCGAAGGCAGCUCACUACGGGGUCAUUGACACUGAGGCACGAAAGCGUGGGGAUCAAACAGG